rnacentral:miRNA from 1 species
CGGAGUGCUGUGCCAAGUGC